rnacentral:rRNA from 1 species
UACGAAGGGGGCUAGCGUUGCUCGGAAUCACUGGGCGUAAAGCGCACGUAGGCGGAUUCUUAAGUCAGGGGUGAAAUCCUGGAGCUCAACUCCAGAACUGCCUUUGAUACUGGGAAUCUCGAGUCCGGGAGAGGUGAGUGGAACUGCGAGCGUAGAGGUGAAAUUCGUAGAUAUUCGCAAGAACACCAGUGGCGAAGGCGGCGACCUGGGUCGAUACUGACGCUGGAGCGCGAAAGCGUGGGGAGCAAACAGG